rfam:Schistosoma haematobium scaffold280_15, whole genome shotgun sequence.
GCACUGCUGAAGAGUCCAAUAAUAGGACAAAACGAGCAUCCAGUGC